rnacentral:rRNA from 1 species
GGGAGGCAGCAGUGGGGAAUAUUGCACAAUGGGCGCAAGCCUGAUGCAGCGACGCCGCGUGAGGGAUGAAGGCCUUCGGGUUGUAAACCUCUUUCAGUAGGGAAGAAGCGAAAGUGACGGUACCUGCAGAAGAAGCGCCGGCUAACUACGUGCCAGCAGCCGCGGUAAUACGUAGGGCGCAAGCGUUAUCCGGAAUUAUUGGGCGUAAAGAGCUCGUAGGCGGUUUGUCGCGUCUGCCGUGAAAGUCCGGGGCUUAACUCCGGAUCUGCGGUGGGUACGGGCAGACUUGAGUGAUGUAGGGGAGACUGGAAUUCCUGGUGUAGCGGUGAAAUGCGCAGAUAUCAGGAGGAACACCGAUGGCGAAGGCAGGUCUCUGGGCAUUAACUGACGCUGAGGAGCGAAAGCAUGGGGAGCGAACAGGAUUAGAUACCCUGGUAGUCCAUGCCGUAAACGUUGGGCACUAGGUGUGGGGGACAUUCCACGUUUUCCGCGCCGUAGCUAACGCAUUAAGUGCCCCGCCUGGGGAGUACGGCCGCAAGGCUAAAACUCAAAGGAAUUGACGGGGGCCCGCACAAGCGGCGGAGCAUGCGGAUUAAUUCGAUGCAACGCGAAGAACCUUACCAAGGCUUGACAUGAACCGGAACGGCGCAGAGAUGUGUCGGCCACUUGUGGCCGGUUUACAGGUGGUGCAUGG